UUGACAGCCCUGGGAACUGAAGUCCUCUACAUGUCCACAGAACAGAUACAGCAUGGGUAGUGCAAACUUCCCUAGCUCCACACCUUUUAUGAAUCUCAGCCCUGCCUCAAAAACGACUACCCUGAGGGAUCCAUCUUCAAGGCCCAAUCACUGGUGACUUUGU
rnacentral:sRNA from 1 species